rnacentral:rRNA from 1 species
GAAGCUCUUCGGAGUGUAAACCACUGUUGCCCGGGACGAAUAGCUCGAUUAAUCGAGCCUGACGGUACCGGGUGAGGAAGCACCGGCUAACUCCGUGCCAGCAGCCGCGGUAAUACGGNGGGUGCGAGCGUUGUCCGGAAUCACUGGGCGUAAAGGGCGCGUAGGUGGUUUGAUAAGGGUGUGGUGAAAGNCCGGGGCUCAACCCCGGAUCUGCCGUGCCGACUGUCANACUCGAGGACUGUAGAGGCAGACGGAAUUCCGGGUGUAGCGGUGGAAUGCGUAGAGAUCCGGAGGAAGACCGGUGGCGAAGGCGGUCUGCUGGGCAGUUUCUGACACUGAGGCGCGACAGCGUGGGGAGCAAACAGGAUUAGAUACCCUGGUAGUCCACGCCGUAAACGAUGGGUACUAGGUGCCUGGGGGAGCGACCCUCUGGGUGCCGGCGCUAACGCA